CCUACGGGAGGCAGCAGUAGGGAAUCUUCCGCAAUGGACGAAAGUCUGACGGAGCAACGCCGCGUGAGUGAUGAAGGCUUUCGGGUCGUAAAACUCUGUUGUUAGGGAAGAACAAGUGCUAGUUGAAUAAGCUGGCACCUUGACGGUACCUAACCAGAAAGCCACGGCUAACUACGUGCCAGCAGCCGCGGUAAUACGUAGGUGGCAAGCGUUAUCCGGAAUUAUUGGGCGUAAAGCGCGCGCAGGUGGUUUCUUAAGUCUGAUGUGAAAGCCCACGGCUCAACCGUGGAGGGUCAUUGGAAACUGGGAGACUUGAGUGCAGAAGAGGAAAGUGGAAUUCCAUGUGUAGCGGUGAAAUGCGUAGAGAUAUGGAGGAACACCAGUGGCGAAGGCGACUUUCUGGUCUGUAACUGACACUGAGGCGCGAAAGCGUGGGGAGCAAACAGGAUUAGAUACCCUGGUAGUCCACGCCGUAAACGAUGAGUGCUAAGUGUUAGAGGGUUUCCGCCCUUUAGUACUGAAGUUAACGCAUUAAGCACUCCGCCUGGGGAGUACGGCCGCAAGGCUGAAACUCAAAGGAAUUGACGGA
rnacentral:rRNA from 1 species